CAAUAGUCACAUAGAUCUCAUGACUGGCAUUCUGGCUUUUUAAAACCAUCGUCCCCUUUGCUGUUACAGAGACCUGGAACCUGGAAGCCUGCGGGGAAUGGCUGGUAGCCGUUUUAUUAUUAUUUAUGAAUUCAUCAGAAAGGAAUAAUGACCUCUAAUUAAAGCCAGAAAAUUACUCCUGGAAUAAAUUGCUAAAGUCGGGAGAAACUGGGACAGGAGCAGGUGAAGUGAUUUGCUCGUGGUGCUGAAACAAGCCACCAUGGGAAAGACUGACAGACUCUGUGAUUUUCUAGGCUCGGCUCAGCGGGGUCACGCCACACCUGAAGUCUCUUCCCCUCAAUCCAGUCACGUGAUGAAGAUUAACAGAGAAUAGGGACGUGAAGUACUCGACAUAACGCGUGAUCUAUAGUACGCUCUCAGUGAGUGCUGGCUGCUAUUACGUAUUGCUCCACAUCUGCGAGCAUCGUCACACAGUGGUUAAAAAUCCUGUCCACCAAAGUGCGCAUAAAUGCUGCCCGGUGCCGAAGAGCUUUAAUAAAAUGCUCAAGGUCACAGAGCAAAUCCGAUGCAGAAUCACGGGUGGGACCAGCUGUUGUGAAUUUCGAGCCCAAAUCUCAUUUCUUUGUAUCAGACUGCCUCUCAAAGCCACAAGAGAUACUCUUAUCAAGGUUGUUUGGUGGGUGUUCCGUUCACGACAGCCGAUACCGUCAAAGGAUUCUUCAAAUGCCAGAAGUGUGCAGCGAGACAGUCUUCGCCUUUACGGACUCGUCCAGUGUUGGAAGCCGCAGCCACGCAGGCACAACCAGGACAUGCACAGCCACAGCCAGUGCUGGUUGUUACAAGUCUGCCUGCCUGGAAGUUACUCUGGGGCGGCAACCAUCAGUGCUGGCGUUCACUAAAACGACAGUGACAAAGACAACAAUGCCCACAACCCACCCGAAACAAACUCUAAAUGACCUGAAAGAUAGUCUGGCUCCUAGAGAAGGCAUAGAAAUAUAGUCCUAAGAAUCCAGCUCCAAAUAAUGGUAAUAUCGAAUGUGCUCCUUUUCCAACGCUAUCCUCCUCCUCCCCCC